AACGCACCUUGCACCCUUUGGUAUUCCGAAGGGUAUGUCUGUCUGAGCGUCGUUUAACUCUCAAACCCCCCUUUCGGUCUUCAUCGGCCGGCCGGCGGGCCGCAAGGCCAGGUUUGGUUCGUGGGUGUUUGUCGGCUCGCCGGCUCACCUCAAAUACAUAGGCGCAGGGUGCCCCCAGUAGCAUCCGCCGGACUUGGCUCGAUAGUAUUGCUUGAACAGCCUCGCAGUCGCGGCGGUGCGACCCGGGUAUACAGCCCUGGCGUCCGAACAGCAACAUGGCUCGAUCGCCUCGAACCUUUGACCUCAGAUCAGGCAGGACUACCCGCUGAACUUAA
rnacentral:misc_RNA from 1 species